rnacentral:rRNA from 2 species
CCUACGGGAGGCAGCAGUAGGGAAUCUUCCGCAAUGGACGAAAGUCUGACGGAGCAACGCCGCGUGAGCGAUGAAGGCCUUCGGGUCGUAAAGCUCUGUUGUUAGGGAAGAACAAGUACGAGAGUAACUGCUCGUACCUUGACGGUACCUAACCAGAAAGCCCCGGCUAACUACGUGCCAGCAGCCGCGGUAAU